rnacentral:lncRNA from 1 species
CAUGUCCCAACACUGUAUUGAUAUUAUGUGUGGUAGAGUCUUUGUCGUACUAUUGUGGACUUUAGAUGGUUUGGUUGUUGGUUGGGUUGUUUAUACGCAUUUCACAAUAUCAUUAAUUCAAGUUCUCUUAUCCUUUGAUAUGUUUGAAAUUUAUCUGACAGGGGGGUAAGGUGGUUGAUGGUUUAGUUAUUGUAGGUUCUCUUUG